rnacentral:rRNA from 1 species
UACGUAGGGUGCAAGCGUUGUCCGGAAUUAUUGGGCGUAAAGAGCUCGUAGGCGGUUUGUCGCGUCUGCUGUGAAAACUCGGGGCUUAACCCCGGGCCUGCAGUGGGUACGGGCAGACUAGAGUUCGGCAGGGGAGACUGGAAUUCCUGGUGUAGCGGUGAAAUGCGCAGAUAUCAGGAGGAACACCGGUGGCGAAGGCGACUCUUUGGCCUGUAACUGACGCUGAGGCGCGAAAGCGUGGGGAGCAAACAGG